GGCACUAUGGCGGAGUGGUUAACGCGAUGCCCUGCUAUACCCAUUGAAUGUGUUAGUCUAGGCAUUUCCCUCGGGAGCGUGAGUUCGAAUCUCACUGGUGUCG
rnacentral:tRNA from 1 species